rnacentral:rRNA from 1 species
GGGGAAUUUUCCGCAAUGGGCGAAAGCCUGACGGAGCAAUACCGCGUGAGGGAUGAAGGCCUAUGGGUUGUAAACCUCUUUUUUCAGGGAGGAAUCAAUGACGUGUACUUGAAGAAUAAGCAUCGGCUAACUCCGUGCCAGCAGCCGCGGUAAGACGGAGGAUGCAAGUGUUAUCCGGAAUCACUGGGCGUAAAGCGUCUGUAGGUGGUCAAAUAAGUCAACUGUUAAAUCUUGAGGCUCAACCUCAAAAUCGCAGUCGAAACUAUUAGACUAGAGUAUAGUAGGGGUAAAGGGAAUUUCCAGUGGAGCGGUGAAAUGCGUAGAUAUUGGAAGGAACACCGAUGGCGAAGGCACUUUACUGGGCUAUUACUAACACUCAGAGACGAAAGCUAGGGUAGCAAAUGGGAUUAGAUACCCCAGUAGUC